GAUCAUGGCUCAGGACGAACGCUGGCGGCGUGCUUAACACAUGCAAGUCGAACGAGAAUCUAUGGAACAAGGAUUCGUCCAAGUGAAAUAGAGGACAGUGGCGGACGGGUGAGUAACGCGUGAGGAACCUGCCUUUCAGAGGGGGACAACAGUUGGAAACGACUGCUAAUACCGCAUGACAUAUAGAUGUCGCAUGGCAUUUAUAUCAAAGAUUUAUCGCUGAAAGA
rnacentral:rRNA from 1 species